GCCUAAGCUCAGUGGUUAGAGCUUAAGCCUUGUGACCGGUUGGUCCCAGGUUCGAAUCUCGCCUGAGGCG
rnacentral:tRNA from 1 species